AUUGAACGCUGGCGGCAGGCCUAACACAUGCAAGUCGAGCGGAUGAAGGGAGCUUGCUCUUGGCUUCAGCGGCGGACGGGUGAGUAAUGCCUAGGACCCUGCCUUGUAGUGGGGGAUAACGUCCGGAAAUGGGGGCUAAUACCGCAUACGUCCUGAGGUGGAAAGUGGGGGAUCGUAGGCUCUCACGCUAUCAGAUGAGCCUAGGUCUGAUUAGCUCGUUGGUGGGGUAAAGGCUUACCAAGGCGGGGAUCCGUAACUGGGCUGAGAGGGUGAGCAGUCACACUGGAACUGAGACGCGGUCCAGAAUCCUACGGGAGGCAGAAGUGGGAAAUAUGGGACAAUGGGCGAAAUCCUGAUCCAGCCAGGCCGCGUGUGUGAAGAAGGUCUUCGGAUGGUAAAGCACUUUAAGGUGGGAGGAAGGGUAGUAAGUUAAUACCUUGCUGUUUGGACGUUACCAACAGAGUAGGCACCGGCUAAUUUCGG
rnacentral:rRNA from 1 species